UCUUGGUUUUAUCAACCCACUGCCUCCCCCAAGAUUAUUCCCCGUUGUUUUAAAGUAGAAGGGAGGUCACCAGGCUGUAGUGAAAUGUGGCCAACUCCGGCGGGGACCAAGUUGGCCCAACCGGCUUCUCUAAAGUAACUGGAAGUUUUCUGACAGGAAACCGGUCAGUUCUUAAGCCACAGUACAUUCACCAAGCCUUCUAAAGAUGACUUUUCUGGCUGCUGCUACUGACUCCAUUCUUUGCGGGAUCCUGGAGAGAGAGACAGAGCAUGAGCAUAGGAGGAGCAGAGCGGAGGAGGAGAAGAGCAA